rnacentral:lncRNA from 1 species
AGCUUCAAAAGGAGAGUCAAUGUGCUUGACCAGAAGAAUAUAGAGCUCAACAUUCAAGUCGAAGAUCUUUUGAGCGAGAAUGCGAAUCUAAAAAUUCAAGUUUCUGAUCUUUAGGAUGAUAGGGUUGUUGGAUUAGGUGUCUAAGCCCAUAACUAUUAUUGGUAUGCAUUCGAACCGAGAGUAGCAUGGUCCAUUUGGGUUGCAUAUCAUCAGGACAAUUUGUUAGGAUGAAAUUUUGAGAGAAGGUUAAUUAUGGUUUAUUAAUAUAUUAUAAGUUAUAAUAUAUUAAUAUGAAAUCAUAUGAUUUAAUAAGUGUUGAUCAAAAAUUAAUUUGGAAUUAAUUUAGUCGUCAAAAGAGACAAAUUAAAUCUGUAGGGACUAAUUAUGGUAAUUAGUUAUAUUUAUAUGUGUUGGGCUUAUGAUCCAUGUUGGACCAAGUUUAUGUAUGGGUACAUAAACAGUUGGGCCACAUGGACCAUGGAUCAUAACACCCAUGGGUAUGGAUUUGGGUUAUACCCAUGCCUCUUGGAAUCCAACAUAUAAAUGUGCUACUUCAUGACCAAAACGUGUACACUUCUUUUCUUAGUGAAAUAUGGAGGUUUUUGGUGCAUGGAAUUCUCUCUCAAGUCCUACCUUUGCCCAUGAUGUGUUGUGACUUCAUUUGAGGCUUCCACACUAUUGGGGCUAAGCUCUUUAAGGCCAAAUACACCAAGACUUCAAGCUCUAUUAAAAGGUAUGUCAUGCUAACUAGUAUAUUAUGAUUUUUAUGUUAAAUGAAUACUAGUUGUAAGCUUUAUACCUUGGAAACCAUUUGCAUGUAUAAUUAGUGAAAACAUAGAUCCAAGGUAUUUAGGGUUGUAUGUGCACCAUAGGAUGUUGUAUUAUACCAAAACCCAAUAGUGGUAUCAUAGCCAUGGGUUGUUUUCAAUUAUACUUGAUGCAAAUAGCUGGAAAAUAGCCGAAUUUUUUUGUUGUCUGGACUGCAGACUCGACGAGUCCAUUGAUGGACUUGACGAGUCCAUGAACAAAUUUAUCCAACUUGUCGAGUUGGUUCAUGCACUCGACGAGUUGGACCCCCUGACAGCAUAUAUUCGUGUUUUUUGGCCUGUUUUGGAUUAGAAUCAAUACCACAAAGUGUUUUUGUUCAUAAAAUUUGUUUUUUUGAUACAAUGGUAAUGUUUAUUUUCAUCCAAAUAAAUGACAAUAAUCAAGGUUUCAAGUUUUAUACAUCUUUAUAUGAUGCUUGAAAAAUGUUGAUUAUGAAUGUUCAUGUUUAUGAGUUUGUUUAGAUUAAUAGAAAAAAUUAUGAGAUAGUUGUUUUCAAUCCAAAUUAAUCUAAAAGUUGGUAAUAAUAUGUGUUUUUGUAACUUGUCCUCAAGUUACUUGAAAAGUCACUUUUAUGAAUUUUAUAACUCAUAAAAUUUCCAUAAGUUAUGAAAAAAUGAAGAAUCACAUUUUUAAAAUGCUUUUAAAAUCUUCCAUAACUUGUCUACAAGUUAUGGAACUUGAAGAGUUUUUCCAUUAAACCACUUUAAAACUCAUAAGUUAUGGAAACCAUAAGUUUUGAAUUGUUUAAAACUUGUCCUCAUGUUUUGGAAUUUGUAAAGUCACCCCCCAUAUACACUUUAAUUCCAAACUCUAGAAUUUUAAAAGUUAAAGUUCAAACAUUAUGGACUUCAUUAAAUUAAUUAAAGUGUUUAAUUAAAAGAGUUAAUAAUUCCACAAAGACAUGGUUUAAGUUUAAUUAAAUUAAGAGUAUAGUUUAAUUAAUAGAUUAAACCACCAAUUAUUUUAAAUUUUUAAAAUACACCCUUAUACUAUUAUAAUAUUAAAAGUUAACGAUUAUAUAUACGUAUAAGAGUAAAGUCAAUCUUACCGUUAGUAGGACUCAUUCACGAAGCCUGUCUAUAAGGGGGGGGGGGGGNGGGGGGGGUAUAAGGUUACUGCCUAUAAAAUGACAGUUUAAUGGGUGUCCACUCUCACCCACCGCUUCCUUGACUGGUGGAGAGUCGUUAGCCGAACGGGUGGGACAAGGACUAUAAAUCUCCCUUCGUUAAAAGUAUAAUGAUAAAUACUAAGUAACUAAACACUUAUUAAAUUCCCAAUCUUAGUUACUUAGUAAAAUGUGAAUUUGGUGCUAACCCAUGAAAUUCACACUUUGUACCUUACCAGGUCGUUGGUGGAGCGUGUGUGGGUAACGGACACACUAACUUAGACUAGUAAGAAUAACAAAGGGUGACUUAAUGUUUAUCAUAGAUCGGUGGAGCGCGUGUGGGUAACCGACACAUCGAUUAGGUGAUAAUAUUAAGGGUACCAAGUGACUUUGAAUGGUUAUUCACACCUUGUUUUGUGAUCCUCAGCAUCCUAGUCACAAAUUUUGAGAGGGCACACUCGAGAUUGAAACAUGCCAUUGAAAAGUUUAAUGAAUCUCGAAAGAUCUAGGAGUUUCAGAUCCAAUUAUAACCUAAUAAAUUAUUUCAUUUUUCAUGGUGGAAGUUGGUGAAUCGUCAUUCGCCUACCUUCAAAUAUCUUAUAGCUUUGAUUACGGCAUCCCUCUUCCAAGUUAUAAAAUAUUGUGUUGGGUCCUAGCCUUAAUAUUUCAUAUUGGGUGUUAUAUUAAGGACUUAAAAAUCAACUAACUUGAAUAUCUCCCAUUGUAAAUGUCUAGUUCAGACAUCUAUGAUCUUCCCAAAUCUCUUAGAAUUUAACUUCUUCCACCCCUCCAAUUAUUCUCCCUAACCCACAAGUUCAAGGUCACUCAAGCCCUAUUGGCAAGCAAGGUUUAUGUGUGAUCACAUCUUGGAGAUGAAGUCACAUAUUGACAAGCCGGGAGAGUUGGGUGUCAAAGUCUUGAGAAAGUUGGAUGUUCAAUCACUUUCUAGGUCACAUAGUGAGUUCUUUUGGGACUACUAUGUGACAGACCAUUACUUGAACCUUAAUGAUCUUUUCUAUUUGCUUGGUGCUACUGAAUCAGAAAUGAUUUGAGGACUAGUAAAGCAAAUUUGAUUAGAAGAUCAACUUCCCAAACCUUCUAUUGCCAAAGGAUGGGGCAUUGGUUGUGAAGCUGCCUAAUUUACCUGAACAAAUAUAAGGUUGGUAAAGUCAAAGAGUUUGACUCUACUUUGAGUAAAGUGAACUAUCUAACUCUAUUAAGUUCCUAUUUGAGAUUCUUAUACAUGAUGUGACCAGACCACAUUUUGAUGUUUUUGUAGAAUCGAAGAGAGGAAGCUUAAAGGAAGUAUAUGCUGAUUUUGAUCGCGAAGAUGGAUUUUGAUUGCAUGGUUCGGUGAUCAGAAUUGUGAGUUGUUGCUUAAGAGUUAUGAUAUAUUGCUUAGGAAUAGAUAACAACAAAUUUUUCAUCUACAUUUGCAUUGUAAGGAUAAGUUUUUCCGCAAGUUUUAAACAAAAGAUAAGGUUUUAUUUUAUUUCAAAUAUCCUUACAGUGGCAUUUGUGAAAAUGGUUGUUUAUAUGAUUCCAUUGAUAGAAAUAUUGGAAAAUGGAUUUGAUUCUUUUGGAUGUGGUAGUGUCAUAAUUUACCAAAUAAGGAAAAAUUCUCAUCACCCAAGUUUCAAUUGGACCGAAACUUGGAAUCAUACAAGUUGUAUGAUGAAUGGGAAUUUUCAUCUUUGGAAAAAUUAAGUCAAGUGAAAGGACUAAGGGAUUGAGUACACAUUCGUGUGCACUGGUCAAGUCCACCACAAAGAUCGAUAAGACUAUUCGUCAUGAUUUACUAAAGUUUAGUAAAUAUGGUUAUACUUACAAGUUUAAGUAUAAUUUUGAAACAUUGGAAAAUAUUCGAUGUAUGGCAGAACGAAUGAGAAGAAUCAAAUUUGGCAGAAAGAUAAAAGUUUCUCAAAUCUGAAAAGAUGGGAGAGUACUUUAGUAUCAUGUUUUUGAUCAUCUUAAUGAUUAAGAUACCAUAUCACAAUUAAUCCUAUAAAGGCAUCUUAGUGCAUUGUUAUGAAUGAGAAGAGGAGACAUGAAUUGUUGGAAUGGUUAAAUCAAGAAGAUGAGUCAUACUUCGUUCCAAAAACAAAGUCUUAGAGUCAUACUCCAAGAUUGUAACUUGAGUGACAUAUCUUAAAAAAGAUUUAUUAACACCAGUCAAAUGUAAGAGUAAACUAUUUUCUACUCUUGUACAUUUUAAAUUGGUAAGUUCUGAUGUUUUGGAUAAAACAGAGAUCAACUUAGGCCAAUUGCGUGAAGUGUUAGUCUUGAUAAGAAUCUGCACCAUCCUUUGAAUAUUUGUUUUGUCAAGCAAUGGUUCUUGACAAGAGAGUCGUAUAUGUCAAGAGGACAGUGAGAGUCUUAAAGGUCUUGAAAGUUUCAAGAACUAAUCAAGGAUAAAACCUAUAGUUCUUCACUAGCACACGACUUGAGGUUUAUAAUAUACCGUGUUGACAUUUCUGUGUCCAUUCCAGUUAAAGUUGGCUUUGCAUAGGAGUUCUGAGAGUUCUCAAUUGAUUGCAUAACAACUUGGAAGCAAUGGCAGACCCUUGUGCUGCUAGAUGGCAAGAAGUUAAGACUGCACAAGUUCAGUCCAUAUGAAUUUGAAAUUAUCACUAACCUUGUCUUGUGACUAUGGUUUUGACAAAAUUCACAUGGAAAGGAACACAUACACCAUAAAAUCUAAGUGUCAUAAGGUUUCUCUCCGAUUCAUGAAAAUGAUGGUGAGGAAACACUUUCACUAAGUAGAUUUUUAGUAGAUAGCAAUUGUGACAUUUGCAUUCUCAAAGUCGUUAGUGGAGCGUGUGUGGGUAACCGAAACACUAACAUAGACUUGUGAGAAAUGAAAAAGGUCUAAAAAAUUGAGACUAUGAUUAUGGAAUCCCUUUUCAUAGUUCUAUAAAAAUAUUUAGAUACACAUGUGAGCUAUCUAAGGAAAGGUGUACGAUUGUGAUAAAGUUUUAUCAAAGCAUCUAGUAUCAGAAAUCUGAACUUUGGUAAGAGAUUCAAUAAAGUAUUGAUUUCUAGAAGUCCAACUGUUUUCUGAGUACAUGUCAACGCUAGUGGGAGCAUAAGUUUUAUGCUCAUAAUUAUCAUGUUAGUGGGAGCAUGAUUAUUAUGUUAAGUGUUAAUUAUAGAAAACAAAAGUUUCAAUUCGUGAAGUUGCAGGGAUUGAAAAGUUGUUUUGCUAUAAUUAAGGGAUAGGAAACUAUACUUCAUUUCAAAUCAUCUUAGAUUGUGAGAUUUUAAUCAUGUUUAGUCAAGUAUAUAUAUGAAUUUUAUGUUGGAAUGGUUCGAAUUAAGGAAAUUCUAUGUAUAUAUUGCGUUUUCAAAAUUCGAUUAUGAUUACGACAUCCCUCUUCAUAGUUAAAUUUUGAAAACAUGGCAACUACAAAAAUAUUGUAGCAAAAGAUUGGUCUAGUAUCAUGUCUUUAUGUGAGACAUCAUGAAUCGUGUCCCAUAUGCUUCGGAUAUAGGAUCGAUUGCAUGUGCCGCAAUAUUCAUCUUUUCUAAAAUUUCCAAAUGCUCAGGGCAUUAAGAAGGGAAAAGUCUAGAAUUGGAUAUGACUAAAAUGAUUAAGAAAUUGUCGAGGACAAUCUGAGGUUUACCAAAGAUUGGUUUCUCAUGGACAGUUGGAAGUAUAAGUGUUACUUUUGGAAGGACCGCAUUGACAUAUUCUAAAAAGAGGUAAUUUUUGUUCAGAAGUGAUAGUCAAAAUGGGAAUCUGGGAAGGUUUCCGUAGGUGGAAGUUGUUCUUUCAAAUCUGUGUAAGAUUAGAAAGCUUGAUGCAAUAAGGAUGUUCAAAGUAAUGUACUUUGAAUUUGAGACUUCAUUUCCAUGGAAUUGAUCUCCAUUGGAAUAUUUUGUAAUGUCUGUUGACAAGUCUUUGUGACUUUGUGCAUAGUCAUUACGAGAGGAUCAAUGCAUAUAAGUUUACAAUCUAACAGAUUUCGUUAAAUCGUAGGAAUUUGGAAUUCUUACAUAUACGAUAAAGAUUUGGGAUUGUGAAAUGAGCAUCAUUGGAAUCAUGUUCAAUUGAUCUGUUUCACAAAGUAAUGAUCAUAGAUAAACAUAGUGUGCCUACUUGAUGUAUGGCAUGACUAGUGUUUAGAAAACAUAGUUUACAUGCUUGGAGCAUGGGACAACUGUUGUUUUAAUUUAAGUAUAAAUUUGAUUAUUUGAAACAUUAUACAAUGAAUAAUGAGUAAUCAAUAUGGUGUUUAAAUAAAAGGUGUUCUAUUUACUCUCAAAGGUGCUUGGGACCAUAGAGGAUUAGUAUUAUUCUUGUGUUUCACUUUGAAUGCUUUGACUUCCAGAAUAACUAGUUUAUUCUUUCCGAAUAACUAAGUUAUUCAAACCAUCCACAGUCGAUAAUAUGUUGGAAGUAGGUAUUAAGGCAAGAUUGUCAUGAAUCGGGUUUAUAGAUGUCCAAGGUAGUGGACAUAGUAAGAGUUACUACAACAUUCAUGAGCACUCCUGGAAUAGGGAUUCGAGUAUUGGAUUCAACCCACGCUCAUUUGAAUCACUUCAUGGAUUUUAUCACGAGUGAUCAUGAGACGAUAAUAUCUUAUAUUCUUCAAACCUAGAGAUAUGAGUUGUUACUAUGAGUUUGUUGUACAUUGAUUGCACGAAAACGCAUUCGGUAACUCGAUGUUAUAAAACGUGCCUUUGUGUAUGAUUCAACAAGUAGUAGAACAAGCCAUAUGAGUUGAAUUUUAUCCAUUCCUUUUACCUUUGGGAUAAAAGCGAUAUCUGUGGGCCCCUUGAUGAUGAGGUGAUGACAAACGUAAGUGCUCGGCCGGGCCUCGACUGAUUUGAUUUGUUCAAUUAGUCAGUCGUCAUAAAUCAGAAAUCGGGAAAAAACAAAUGGACAAAGAGAAUGAUUAGAAUCCAUGUCUCAGUCCAUAUGAUAUCUAGAAUGGAGGAAUAUAUGAUCCCUUAUCUAAAGGAUAUGUCAUUUGAUUUGUUCAGAGUUUGACAGCAGNGAACUUCCACUGUAGAGGCAAGCUAGGGUUUACAAUAACUCGAUGAGAAAAAUAAUGAAAGCGUUAAUUACAAAGACUGCAUGCAUGCAGCUUAAAUACUAAACCCUUGAAUAAAACAUGCACGGUUGGACAGGCCAAAACCGGCAACCAAAACUGGGCUAAGGACCGAGCCCAUGACGCAACACUAUAAUCCCAAUAAAUAUAUUAUAAGUUAUAAUAUAUUAAUAUGAAAUCAUAUGUUUUAUUUAGUGUUGAUCAAGAAUUAAUUUGGAAUUAAUUUAGUCGUCAAAAGAGACUAAUUAAAUCAAUGGGGACUAAUUAUGGUAAUUAGUUAUAUUUAUAUGUGUUGGGCUUAUGAUCCAUGUUGGACCAAGUUUAUGUAUGGAUACAUAAAGAGUUGGGCCACAUGGACCAUGGAUCAUAACACCCAUGGGUAUGGAUUUGGGCUAUACCCAUGCCUCUUAAUAUCCAACAUAUAAAUGUGCUACUUCAUGACCAAAACGUGUACACUUCUUUUCUUAGUGAAAUAUGGAGGUUUUUGGUGCAUGUAAUUCUCUCUCAAGUCCUACCUUUGCCCAUGAUGUGUUGUGACUUCAUUUGAGGCUUCCACACUAUUGGGGCUAAGCUCUUUAAGGUCAAAUACACCAAGACUUCAAGCUCCAUUAAAAGGUAUGUCAUGCUAACAAGUAUAUUAUGGUUUUUAUGUUAAAUGCAUACUAGUUGUAAGCUUAAUACCAUGGAAACCAUUUGCAUGUAUAAUUAGUGAAAACAUAGAUCCAAGGUAUUUAGGGUUGUAUGUGCACCAUAGCAUGUUGUAUUAUACCAAAACUCAACAAGGGCAACAAAGACCAAGAAAAUCUCCGAGCUUCAAGCUUAUUUUAAUCUCCUAACCUCUAGUUAUUUUGAUUUAAAGAAGAAGCUUGAAGAAGAUCUUGGUGCCAAAUAUAAAACAUCAGUAGAUGAGUACAUAAUCAAUUUUC